AAGCCAUGUGGCCUGCUGCUUGACUAAUUGAACACCUGCUGCUGUUACUGUUGGACAUGGUUCCUUCUUUUCUUCCUGAUGUUGCUAUUUCCAUUGAACUACUCAUAGGAGUUCUAGAUGAGCUGCUGCUAGUUAGUUCCCCUUAGACUACAUUCUAGAUUGCAUAGCAUAAUUCCAGAAUUUUGUCAUUGCACACCUGGGCAUAUAAUUCUGUUGUGAGCAUAACUCCUGAAUUCAUUCAUCCGUGAAAGCACGUUCAUCACAUGUUUUUUACCAUGCUGCUAACUUCUGUCAUGUCCCUUUCCUUUGGACAAGAAUUUCAACGAACCUAUAACGUGGACAUGUGCUGCUUGUUUUCUUGUGAUGGUGGUUAUCCAAUUGAGUACCCCAACUCUUAUGCUCUGACAUUUGUUAAUCCCCACUUAGUGUGCAUGAAAAAUUAUUGUUUGUCAUGUUAAAUUUUAUGGCAUCAAUUCGGAAUUGUGAUUAAUGACUCAGUAUUUGUUUAGUGUAGACAGUUGACUUCUUUUUUCUUAAGCUUUUAGUGAUAUGCGUGUUUUGUUAUGUCUUAUGGGGAUAUCAUGUUCUUUCUUUGUAUUACUAAUGUCCAGUCAAUGGAAAAUGCUUUUCUUGCUUUGCCUAGACUUUGUGACAAUGAACUUAUAGUGCGAUCAUUGAUCAUUGAGCUUCUGACACCCUAUUCCGUAAAAUUCUGUUGUAAUGUUUGCUGGAUCAUUGAGUAGUUAAUAUUGAUUCUGAGUUUGUUGGAUCAUUAACUUCUGUGUGUGCUUUGGUUAUCUAAGAGACACUCACUAUCCUUUGUUUCAUAUUCGUGGCGGAAUGAUGAACGAUUAUGUUCCGUGUCCCUGUGUUUCGUGUUCGCCGGUCUGGUUUUGGAUUUGGAUUACGGAGACAGGGAGAGGCCAAAGCAAGGUCAGUUUAUCGUGUUCGCUCAGAUCGGUUCCUCGGUUCCGUCGUUGCAUUGUUCGUCGGCGAUUUCCAGACCUGAAACGCAUGCACCCUUGUGAUACUCUGGUUUGGCUCGCUGGUCGUCAUGGUUGUUCGUUACGGUUGUUCUUAUGUUCUUGAAUCACCCAUCUUAUAAGCAGAGAUGGGGUGAUACAUUAUGGUUGUUCUGAUGGUUGCUUAUUUAGUGUUCUUUCCAAUUGGGUUCUUCUUGCCAUGCUUUGCUUAUGUUCCCAAUGUCUGUCUUUCCAUAUAUGGGGAUGCGUUAGGGUGCAAACCGUGUAGGCCAUGGUGUGUUUUUACUAGUUAUGGUGUGUUUUAUACUAUCUGAUGUUGAAGGUGGAAAUAUUGAUAUCACUUCUGUGUUAGUAUACUUGAUAUGGUGUGUUUUAUUCAAGUAAUUAACCACAUCUCUUACAAAUUUUCCUUGAGAUACAUGUUUAUAUGGCAGGAGUGAUUGUCUUGACGAAUAAUCAUUUAUGCUAACAGACCAGUACUUGAUCAUAGGUAACAGACCAGUACUUGAUCAUAGGUAACAGACCAGUACUUGAUCAUAGGUAGUAGACCAAUACUUCACAUAGGUAACAGACCAGUACUUGUUUAGUGCAGACAACUGACUAUUCUUUUUUCUGAACUUCUUGUCAUAUGUCUGUUAUGUGAAUAUCAUAUUCUAAUGCUUUUCUAAGUAUUUAAGGUACAGACUUGUGGAUCUGGACAUUUCACAUCUGCUCUUUAUUGUGUUGCUAAGGACACUGAACGGUUUGUCUGGGCCACCGCACAGCCUGGCUAAUCAGGUUGUAGUGAUUAGGGAGAAGCUUGCAGAACUGUAUGAAUUUGAACAACAAUGGUCAAGAGCAUGGAAAAUGCUUAGUGGCUUUGACUUGGACUCAGGAAUAAGAAUGCUUGAUGACAAACAAAUUAUCCAAGUGCGUCCAGAUUGCACGACUCUAUUUGGAGGAUGAUGAUGCAGUGAAUGUUGAAGCUUUUAUCAACAAAGCCUCAUUUUUUGUCACAAACAGCAACCAGGAAGUUCUGAACUUUUAAUACAAGGUAUGCUAUGCGAGAAUUUUAGAUCUAAAGCGUAAAUUCUUGGAAGCUGCACUUCUAUACUAUGGUAUCUCUCAAAUUGAGCAACACCAAAUUGGGGAUGAGUAAGGCUUACUCCAUUCAGUUGUAGAUUUGUUUCUCUCUUCUGCAAUUUACUCAUUUUUAAUGUUCUGUCUUGUAUGGUUCUUUGUUGCCUUGCCGGUCUAGUGGUGCCUAAUUUCUAUUUUACACCCUUCAAAUUACCCUAGUUGAUACUCAUGUUUAAGUACUGCAGUGGUUAUUAGCAAGUCAUGUUUGGAACUGAUAUGGCCUCCAUAUUUUAUUCUCAAAGAUCUUGAUGGAACAUAGUUUCUGUAUUUUCUCAGAUAGAUUGACGAAAAUGAUCUUUAGCAAGCUCUUAGUGCUGCUGUAACAUGCACAAUAUUGUAACUGAUGAGAGGCAACCACCGUUGCCAACUUGAAAUCAGUUUACUCAUUCAAGUUCUGGAAUUUCUUUAUAGCUUUCUGGGUUUACUUCGAUCUUGCAUGUAUUAGGUUUCUCUUUGUGCCCCUAUCUAUGUCAGUUUCUUGUGUGCAAGUGCUUCAUUAUGUGUGUGUGACUUGUUGGUGAAUAUGUGUGUGGCUUGAUGGUGUGUGUGGCUUGACUCUCUCUGUGUGUGGUUUGAUUGUGUGUGUGGCUUGACUCUCUCUGUGUGUGGCUUGACUGUGUGUGUGACUUGACUCUCUGUGUGUGUGGCUUGGCUCUCUCUGUGUGUGGCUUGACUGUGUGUGGUUUGAUUGUGAAUAUGUGUGUGGCUUGACUCUGUGUGUGAGUGUGUGUGGCUUGAUGGUGAAUAUGUGUCUGGCUUGAUUCUCUGUGUGUGUGUGUGACUGUGUGUGAAAAUUGCAUUUGUUUGAUGGUGUGGCUUGUAUGCUUUGCUGAAUGUUUGGUUGUAUAACUUGUGUUUUAUAUUUCAUGAUUGAUUGCUUUGUUGUUUGUUGAAUGUGAACAGACCUAGCACUAUUCUUUUUUUCUGAACUUUUUUGUGAUUAUGUCUUAUGUGGAUAUCAUAUUCUUUUUUAUGUAUUACUGUUGUCCAGUCAGUGGAAUAAUGCUUUUCUAAGUAUUUAAGGUACAGACAUUGGAUCUGGACAUUUCACAUUGGCUCUUUAUUGUGUUGCUAAGGACACUGAUGGGUUGAGUUUGCAUAAAAUGCAGUAUGGAGCAACAAAUUGGUCUCAUUGCAAGGUCACUACCUGGACGUAUAGGCAAGCAAUGUCAAGAGAGGUGGCAUAAUCAUCUGAAUCCAGACAUACAGAGAGAUGCUUGGACUAUGAGGAGGAACAUGCACUGUAUAAUGCCCAGGGAAUAAAUGGGCAGAAAUAGCAAAAUUUCUUCCUAGAAGACAUCUGAACAUUGCAGGAAUGGGGUACUUCCAUUUGUGUAACUUCUAUUUGUUAUCAGUUCUUCUCACCUAUAGCUAAAGUCAAAGACGACAAACCAGGUGAAUUAUUGGAGUUGCAAGAUACACAGAAUCAGCAUUUCAACAAGUGACUACAUACGGAGCAAAAUGAGUGAAUCUACACUCUAAAAUAUGUCUACAUACAUCCGUAUGUAGUAGUCAUUUGAAAUGUCUAGAAAGACAAGUAUUUAGGAACGGAGGGAGUACAUCACAGGUCAUCUUAAUCUUGUUUUGUAAAUAUGACUGCUGGUGCUGCUGGUAACGCUAUCCAUCGGCUUGUAGCUCAUGAGAGGCAACCACAGUUGCGAACUUGAAACAUAUAUCUUUUAGGAACGAAGAUCUGAAUCACACCUCACCCCUCAAGAGAAAUCGUUUAGUCAUUCAGGUUCUGGAAUUUCUUUAUAGCUUUCUGAGUUUACUUCGGUCUUGCAUCUAUUUGCUUUCUGUUUGUGCCCCUAUCUAUGUAUGUUUCUUAUUGUUUAUUGUGUGCAAGUGCUCCAUUCUGUGUCUGUCUGACUGUUUGUGGCUUGACUCUCUUGUGUGUGUGGCUUGACUGUCUGUGUGUGGGACUGUGUGUUUGACUAUGUGUGAAUAUUGCAUUUGACUGUGAUGUGUGACUAUGUGUGUGACUCUGUGUUUGACUGUGUGUGUGACUGAAUAUUGUGCAUUUGACUGAAUAAUGCAUUUUGGCAAUGAAUGUGUGUGUGGGACUGUGUGUGAAUAUUGCAUUUGACUGUGAUGUGUGACUAUGUGUGUGACUCUGUGUUUGACUCUGUGUGUGACUGAAUAUUGUGCAUUUGACUGUGAUGUGUGUGACUGUGAAUAAUCCUGUUUGGCAAUGACUGUGUGUGUGAUUGUGUGUGGCUUGACUCUGUGUGUGUGUGUGUGGCUUGUAUGCUUUGUUGAAUGAUUGGUUGGUGUGGCCUAACACUGCCUUUGCCGGUCCCAAGCCCGGAUGCGAAAAUGUGGAGGGAGCUGCAGUUACCUCCUUUGUAUUGUUUGCCUUAGAAGUGUGAAUAUUACAUUUUCACAAUGACUGUGUGUGUGAUUGUGUUGAAUAUGACUGUGAUGUGUGUGACUAUGAAUAAUGCAUUUUGGCAAUGACUGUGUGUGUGAUUGUGUGUGGCUUGACUCUAUGUGUGUGUGUGUAUGUGUGGCUUGUAUGCUUUGUUGAAUGAUUGGUUGGUGUGGCCUAACACUGCCUUUGCCGGUCCCAAGCCCGGAUGCGAAAAUGUGGAGGGAGCUGCAGUUACCUCCUUUGUAUUGUUUGCCUUAGAAGUGUGAAUAUUACAUUUUCACAAUGACUGUGUGUGUGAUUGUGUUGAAUAUGACUGUGAUGUGUGUGACUAUGAAUAAUGCAUUUUGGCAAUGACUGUGUGUGUGAUUGUGUGUGGCUUGACUCUAUGUGUGUGUGUGUAUGUGUGGCUUGUAUGCUUUGUUGAAUGAUUGGUUGGUGUGGCCUAACACUGCCUUUGCCGGUCCCAAGCCCGGAUGCGAAAAUGUGGAGGGAGCUGCAGUUACCUCCUUUGUAUUGUUUGCCUUAGAAGUGUGAAUAUUACAUUUUCACAAUGACUGUGUGUGUGAUUGUGUUGAAUAUGACUGUGAUGUGUGUGACUAUGAAUAAUGCAUUUUGGCAAUGACUGUGUGUGUGAUUGUGUGUGGCUUGACUCUAUGUGUGUGUGUGUAUGUGUGGCUUGUAUGCUUUGUUGAAUGAUUGGUUGG